rnacentral:misc_RNA from 1 species
GAUGAAGAACGUAGCUAAAUGCGAUACUUGGUGUGAAUUGCAGAAUCCCGUGAACCAUCGAGUCUUUGAACGCAAGUUGCGCCCGAAGCCACUAGGCCGAGGGCACGCCUGCCUGGGCGUCACACGUCGUUGCCCCCCCCCCAUCUACUCCUUCGGGAUUGCGGGGGGCGGAUGAUGGCCUCCCGUGCGCCUAGCCGCGCGGUUGGCAUAAAUACCAAGUCCUCGGCGACGCACGCCACGACAAUCGGUGGUUGCGAAACCUCGGUUGCCCGUCGUGUGCGUUCGUCGCGCAUCGAGGGCUCGAAAAAAUGCUCGGCUCCGGCUCGGCUUUCAACGCGACCCCAGGUCAGGCGGGGUUACCCGCUGAAUUUAAGCAUACAAUAAGCGGAGGA